rnacentral:rRNA from 1 species
UACGGAGGAUGCAAGCGUUAUCCGGAUUCAUUGGGUUUAAAGGGUGCGUAGGCGGGAUAGUAAGUCAGUGGUGAAAUCCUACAGCUUAACUGUAGAACUGCCAUUGAUACUGCUAUUCUUGAGUACAGUUGAGGCAGCUGGAAUGUGUGGUGUAGCGGUGAAAUGCUUAGAUAUCACACAGAACACCAAUUGCGAAGGCAGGUUGCUAAACUGUAACUGACGCUGAGGCACGAAAGCGUGGGGAGCAAACAGG